GGCGUUGGUAGUGCAAUUAAAUGAGCACACGCCCUCGGAAAGGGUGCGAUGCGGGUUCAUAUCCCGUCUGAAGUCA